CCUACGGGGCGCAGCAGUGGGGAAUAUUGGACAAUGGGCGAAAGCCUGAUCCAGCCAUGCCGCGUGUGUGAAGAAGGCCUUCGGGUUGUAAAGCACUUUCAGUGGGGAAGAAAGCCUUGGGGCUAAUACCCUCGAGGAAGGACAUCACCCACAGAAGAAGCACCGGCUAACUCCGUGCCAGCAGCCGCGGUAAUACGGAGGGUGCGAGCGUUAAUCGGAAUUACUGGGCGUAAAGCGCGCGUAGGCGGUCUGAUAAGCCGGUUGUGAAAGCCCCGGGCUCAACCUGGGAACGGCAUCCGGAACUGUCAGGCUAGAGUGCAGGAGAGGAAGGUAGAAUUCCCGGUGUAGCGGUGAAAUGCGUAGAGAUCGGGAGGAAUACCAGUGGCGAAGGCGGCCUUCUGGACUGACACUGACGAUGAGGUGCGAAAGCGUGGGUAGCAAACAGGAUUAGAUACCCUGGUAGUC
rnacentral:rRNA from 1 species